rnacentral:rRNA from 1 species
GACGAACGCUGGCGGCGUGCCUAAUACAUGCAAGUAGAACGCAGUUGCGAACGGGUGAGUAACGCGUAGGUAACUGCCUGGUAGCGGGGGAUAACUAUUGGAAACGAUAGCUAAUACCGCAUACUACCAGAUGGACCUGCGUUGGAUUAGCUAGUUGGUGGGGUAACGGCUCACCAAGGCAACGAUACAUAGCCGACCUCGGAGGAGUAUCGGCCACACUGGGACUGAGACACGGCCCAGACUCCUACGGGAGGAAGCAGUAGGGAAUCUUCCGCAAUGGGGGGAACCCUGACCGAGCAACGCCGCGGGAGUGAUGACGGCUUUCGGGUUGUAAAGCUCUGUUGUUAAGGAAGCGGUACUUAACCAGAAAGGGACGGCUAACUACGUGCCAGCAGCCGCGGUAAUAC